UACGGGGGGCGCAAGCGUUGUUCGGAAUUACUGGGCGUAAAGCGCACGUAGGCGGCUUUGUAAGUUAGAGGUGAAAGCCCGGGGCUCAACUCCGGAAUUGCCUUUAAGACUGCAUCGCUAGAAUUGUGGAGAGGUAAGUGGAAUUCCGAGUGUAGAGGUGAAAUUCGUAGAUAUUCGGAAGAACACCAGUGGCGAAGGCGACUUACUGGACACAUAUUGACGCUGAGGUGCGAAAGCGUGGGGAGCAAACAGG
rnacentral:rRNA from 1 species